rnacentral:lncRNA from 1 species
AUCCAUUCAAAAAGACCUGACCAUGGGAUGGCAAAGGAAUUGAUCUAUGAGAACAGAGGAAGUCACAGCACUUGUGGUCUGUUUUCAGUUCGGAAGGGCUACAAACUACGGCAGCUUCCCUGCAAAGUCUGCAAUAAUGUGAAAACAGAAAUAAGCGGUGAGUGGCUGUCGCAAACUACACUGGUCUCCUGGCAUCUUCGGCUGUUUUCCACCCACCCUUGAAAAUCAUCUCUGGCCCAAAAUGGAACUGUGAGCUGUACCACAUGCUCUAAAUGAAGUGCUAAUUAAAUACUUCUAUUUAAUGUAGACAACAUUUCUUUGAAAAGACUGUAAUGUAUUGCAGAUGUCACCAAUUCCCUUAGAGAAUGACGAGGGGAGCAACGUACACAUCCCUCUCUAGGAGGUAGGGAUGUAGCCCAGGUGGUUGUGACUGAUAAGGCCUAAUGCUGAAACAGCACUUGUCUGAUCCAAAUUCCCACACACCUUCUCUUACAGGGACACUGGUAUCAGGAACAGUGCAGGUGCUUCCGUCGGGAUGUACGCUUAGACACAUGGGAGAUAAAUGGUGGAGCCACACAGCUUGAUAGAUACUUGGAGUCUAAAAGAAAACAGGAAGGAAGGAAGGAAAAGCGUUGAACUUCUGUUUACCUCAUUUUGUUUGAACAGAGCCCUGUGUGUUAACCCUCCUCCGCACAAUGAAACUCUGUGCAGUGAAAAUUGGCUAAGUGGGUCCUUAUUCAGGAUCAUUCAUCGCCAUGGCACUGCCUCGUGCAUGCAUGGCAGAUUUACACCAGCGAAACUGAGGAAGAAAAACAAAAGACCCACGAUCUGAAGGAAGGGCUGGCGCUAUUUAUGAAGUGCCAGUAACGUGCUGGGGAUUAGAUGAAGAUCUGACCAGCCUCGCUCUGCAGGGGUGCUGCUGGCAGGGUGACAUGCCACCAAACACUGCAGCGAGGAGGACAACAUGUUCAGUGACUUGGGGCUCCUCAGAGGCACAUCGUGGUGUGCGUUUUGCAGACUGGACUCUUCCCUUCAGAAGAUGGGGCAUGCGUAUGGGAAGUAAGUCUAAUGCAGCUAAGGGAAACAGAAGGUUUGGGAAAACACUGGCCCAAUGCUAUCAGUGUGCUGAUUCUGUGCCUGCUGAUGUGCAGCAUCACAACUGGAGAGAAGGUAUGGACCAUUCGGCUGGGGUUUGUAUGUCUGAGAGAGGAAUAUUGUAAAUUGCACAAAGACAAACACG